AAUAAACACCUGACGCCCGCUUGUCGUAGGUCGGUGACGUUUCGGAGUUUGUUGAUGGUUUAAUAAUAUAAAGAAGUCCUCUUAACAUGGACCCCAGGAACUGUGCCCAGGAUGUUGUAUGCUGCACCUUGUGUCAAACAUUUUUGGCCCCCAUGUACUGUGGAGUUUGUCAUAUACAUCCUUGUAACGAAUGUGUAGAGAAACAUUUCUCUUAUUCCUCCAAAGUUUAUAAAGUGGUGCCAUUUAAAAUAUACUGUACAACUUUAAGUUAUCCUAAGUGUAAGAAACACUCCACCAAACAAUGUGAAGUCCACUGUGAACAAUGUGACAUUCAUAUUUGUGUAUUUCUGGAGAACAUCUUGGACAUAAACCAGUUGACAUUUCUAAAAUCUUUGAAAACAAAAAAUAAGUAUUACAAAGAGAAUUCUACCGUGGAGGAAAAGGAAUCCAAACACCUGGUUGUCCUAAAUAAACAGGAAGAUGAAAUCAGAUGCACAAUUUCGACAAUCACAUAAACCAUUGCUGAACUGAAGAAAUCACUGAACUCCAAAGAUGUCUGCCUUAUCUCUGCGUACAAAUCCAGGAACGCUGAAUUCACAAGAUUGUCUCCUACACUCAAUGUGUCCUUACCAAACUUUAGGCCUCAGGAAAUUCAUACAGAUCAGCUGAUUGAAAAGUUUUGUUCUCUGUCAGCAUUUUCUUUUACGACAGAGGAACAAAACAACUGCAUGUCGACCCAGAGUCCUCUCCCCCAGACCGGUCCCUAAUGGAUGUACCCCGGGUUAUCACAACCAUAAACACAGGGUAUAGAUUUCUAUGUGGUGUGACGUGUCUGAAUGAUACAGAGAUCUGGUCAUAUUUUUCAGUCACUCCUUCACUAGAUCAAAAUCAGCGAUUAUUUUGCCAUGCUGAAAAGGGAAAUAAUCCAUUUUUAUUAUCUAAAUUCAAAGUAUAAAAAUUGAGUUAUUCCCCCCUUGCAGAUCCUGCUCUGUCUCAAAAUACUUUUUGCUUGGGAAACUAAACAUUAUUUUUUGGACUCAAAGUAACUUUAUUAAUUGUUUGUCUACCACUUGAAUUCAUUACAUACCGAUUUCUGUAUAUAUUUUUUUUAUAUUUCACUCAUUAUUGCUGCUGUCGGCAAAUCAUACAGGUAUGUGCUAACAUAAAAGUUAAUAGACAAGUUGUACUCGAUUCAAUUCCAUUAAAGCAGUGGAGUGAGGCCGCAAAUUUAAAAGGAUUGAGGCCAAUUACUUAAAAAGAGGGGUGGUACAGGUAUAUUAACCCCUUUUCUCCACCUAGAAUGAGACUAAACCUCAAUAAAUAUUAAAUUUAGACAUUAAACUUGAUAGUUUAGUAAACAAACUUGUAGUAUACAAACCUUUCACUGCCAUUAGAUUAUCUUAUAGAAAUCUCAAUCUGAUUUCAACGGAAAGGUUUGGGUUUUUUGGUCUUGAGAACUUUAUAUUUCUUGAUCUUGUGAGUUCAUUCUUCUUUGAACUUCUAAAAUUUUUGAUAAGUAUAAAGUAGUAUGUAAAAUAAAUGAAAUCAGACAAUUGUGAAAAUAUGUGUGGUUUUCUUUUGAUGGGCUUUUUGUUCCUUAUUAACUUUUACAUGUACAAUUAGAAACCAACAUAACAAAGAGAGAACUGUCAUACCUGCCUUCGACUCCGAGGAUUUGAUACGUUCUCAGAUCAUUCAGCUAAUUGAAGUUCUCAACCCUGUCCAUAAAAUACAUGUAUAAAGCUGUAUAGUCUUUACGCUUAAUCUAACAAGUAUUUACGUGACUGCGACUUACAGAAUAUUUUUUUCGAAGUAUUAGAAACCCAAACCAAGGUCAAUGAUUUUAAUAAUUUUUCAUGUUAAAUGAAAAUGUAACAAACCAAAAUGCUACAACGUAUGGCUACUGUAAGGAUUUAUUGUGUUUUUCUACAAAUUAAGAUAGCGCCCAAAAACCAUUACUUUUGUUAUUAUGGAUUUAAAUGUGGUGUUACUGGUCUCUAACAUUUUAUAAUUAAACUACUGAAAGUAC
rnacentral:sRNA from 1 species